rnacentral:rRNA from 1 species
UUUCCGGUUGAUCCCGCCGGAAGUCACUGCUAUCGGGGUUCGAUUAAGCCAUGCGAGUCUAGAGGGUUCGGCCCUCGUCGUACUGCUCAUUAACACGUGGAUAACCUGCCCUAAGGAAGGGGAUAACCCCGGGAAACUGGGGAUAAUAGCCUAUAGGUUACAGAUGCUGGAAUGCCCUGUAACCCAAAGCUCCGGCGCCUUACGAUGGAUCUGCGGCCGAUUAGGUUGUUGUUGGGGUAACGGCCCAACAAGCCUCUAAUCGGUACGGGUUGUGGGAGCAAGAGCCCGGAGUUGGAUUCUGAGACACGAAUCCAGGCCCUACGGGGCGCAGCAGGCGCGAAAACUUUACAAUGCGCGCAACCGUGAUAAGGGAACCUCGAGUGCCUGUACAUGCAGGCUGUUCGGGUGUCUAAAACACACUUGAAGAAAGGGCCGGGCAAGACCGGUGCCAGCCGCCGCGGUAAUACCGGCGGCUCGAGUGGUGGCCACUUUUAUUGGGCUUAAAGCGUUCGUAGCUGGGUUGUUAAGUCUCUUGGGAAAUCUGCCGGCUCAACCGUCAGGCGUUUAAGGGAUACUGGCAAUCUUGGAACCGGGAGAGGUGAGGGGUACUUCGGGGGUAGGAGUGAAAUCCUGUAAUCCUUGAGGGACCACCUGUGGCGAAGGCGCCACACCAGAACGGCUUCGACAGUGAGGGAUGAAAGGUGGGGGAGCAAACCGGAUUAGAUACCCGGGUAGUCCCAGCCGUAAACGAUGUGCGUUAGGUGUAUUGACGACCACGAGUCGUCGAGGUGCCGAAGGGAAACCGUGAAACGUACCGCCUGGGAAGUACGGUCGCAAGGCUGAAACUUAAAGGAAUUGGCGGGGGAGCACCACAACAGGUGGAGCCUGCGGUUUAAUUGGAUUCAACGCCGGG